rnacentral:tRNA from 1 species
AGUAAAUUGCCUGAUAAAAGGAUUAUCUUGAUAGGAUAAAUUAUGAAAAUAAAUUUUUCAUUUACUA